CGAGGGAGCUGGAGGUGGAGCCGCCCCUGGAGAGGGGCUGCGGUGACGGGCAGCAGCCACGGGGAGUUACCGGGCUCGGUGCUGGCCGCCCCAAGGGACCCUCUGUGGGCAGCAGAAGCCCCGGAGGGAGCGGUCAGCGCCGGGUCUGAGGGGACGAUGGCGCGUUCCGCUCCAGAGCCCCAGGGAAUGGUGUCGCGGUCACCUGGCCACAGCAGCCGCAGGAAUCUCCCAAAAGGCCGCUGGCCUUGGGACACUGAGCAGCGAGCUCUGUGCUCCCGGUGCCGAGCGCCAGGCGAUGCCGUGUGGAUGAUCCCGAUCUCUCUCUCCUGCCUAGGAAGAGCCAUUAUUCCCCGACCCUGGAAGCCCUGGUGCAGCUCGCCGGUCUCCGUGUUCGGGGGUUUAUGCGGGAAUCAGAGCAGAAUGGAUCGGUAUCGGUAUUUCAUUUUUAACCAGAGGAACAUGGUCGUGCUGGGGAUGUUCCAGAUUGCCUUCAGCACCGUCUGUGUCACCAGUGGGGUCAUAGAUGGCGUUUUCAGGACAGAGUCUGAGCUGGCCAAAACCAGAGCUCCAGUUUGGGCUGGCAUGGUGAUGGGAGUCCCAGGCGUCCUGGCUUUGUUCUCCUCGCAGAGGAAGAAUCCAGUUCUUGUGAAUGUACUGAUAGUUUGUUCCAUAAUCUCUUGUGUUGCCAUCUUCAUUGUAAUAGUUUAUAGCUCCCUCACACUGAACUAUGGUGAAGAGGAGGAGCUGAGUUCUGCCCCAGUCCAUGUUAUCCAUACUAGGUUCAUACUCAAUGCAGUUGUCAAGGGGGCCAACAUAGCCAUGCUGGCUGUGUCCAUCUGCAGUGCCUUUUCUGUGCUGGCCAUGGCUUACUUGGGAUGCCGGAGCCUUCCGUGCUGCUCCUGCUAUGACAGUGUAACUGGGAUGGAAUGGUUGCAGCCUAAUGAGGACCAAAAUCAGUCUGUGGAAAUGAUUUGUGCUGUAGAAAGCCCUGGGGGGAGAAUUUUUAACUUCACAGAUCGGUUUCCAGCCCAGGAUGUAGAUGCAGAAGAAGACACAUCCAAACCUCCACCAUUUAUCAGAAUGACUUGAAAAAGUGGCCAAACAUUGUGUUCAAAUGUGGCAGGAGAGAUGCAGUGAAUGUCAAGUGUUUAUCUUGCCUGCAGGCAUUGAGCAGGGAGUGGCAGAUGACUUAACCCUUGGUGCAGAUUAACACAGCAUUUGAACAGAGCCUGGAAAGUAAGUUCCUAUUUGAGAAAGUGGGUAGUGGGAUAAGUGGUACUCAGCAUGAGGCAUGGAACUCCAGGAAUGAUCUCAUAUCAGGCUUCUGUAAUUGCAGCAAGUAAUGUGCCUUUCAUGGUCCCAAGAGAAGAGUUGUUCAUGAUUUACUUUUUUCUCUAAGACUGAAGUCCUUUUCAUAAUGCUGGGACUCCAAUACCCAAAUUGCUUUAAACCAAAGAGGGUGGGUUUAGAUUAGAUAUUGGGAAGAAGUUUUUUGCUGUGGGGGUGGUAAGACACUGGCACAGAUUGUCCAGAGAAGCUGUGUAUGCCCUGUCACUUGGAAGCUCGAGGCCAGGUUGGAUGGGGCUCUGAGAAGCCUGGUCUGGUGGGAGCUGUGCCUGCCUGUGGUAGAGGAGUCAGAUCUUCAAGGUCACCUCCAAACAAUCCUAUGAUUCUUCUGCAAAGAUGUUACACAGCUUUUUUUUGUAAUCCUCAACAGAGAAAUACUCUUAGUCACAUAUUGAGGAAGUCCCAGUGAACUUUGGCACCCCUCUGUGUGUAAGGUGCUUGCCAAGUGUACCUGUUGCUGACUUUAACCCUUAAAAUUACUAUGUCUGGGAAUAUCUCGUGUUGAGAGAGCAGCCCCAACCACCAGGCUCCCUCCACACCCCUUCUCAGGUCACAUAUUGCUUCCACCACUGCCCAGCUUCAGCCAGGGAAGCUGUCCCCAGCUUUGGAUCCUUGGGCCAGCAGCUUAACUUGGGCUUGCAGAUCCUACUCUGGCAACUGGAGACUUAAUUUUAUGUGCCACAGUAGCCAAAUUCUUCCUGACUUUGGUUCUAAAUACCUUCAUUACCUUGCCUGCAGGGACACAUAAUGGUUGAGGCUGGAAGGGAUGUCUGGGGAUCACCUAGUGCAAUCCCAUCCUAUGCCAACCAAAACACAGCUGGUGUCUUGCUCAUUUGAAGGUGUUAAUAUAUUAAUUGAAUUGCUUUAAUAUAUUAAUUCAAAUGUUGUGAUUCAAAAUGGGAUGCUGUGCUCUUUCCUCUGAAAUAGUGCCUGUCAACAGGCAUCAAAGCACCCAGUGUAACUGCUCUCCCUGUCCUCAGAUGCUUCUGGCAGAGCUCCACACCAUCUGCAGUGAAAUGCUGGGGAGUUUCCUCUUGUUUAACACAAACUGCUGUUCUUGUAAUGAAAAGAAAGUCAGACACCCUCACAGGGUGCUGGGCUCACUGAUAGCUGAAAGCAGUGGCUCUGGUCAGUCUAAAACAGAUUUUGAACUGCUACAAUUGCAUUGCUCAGCCUCUGCAGGAUUUCUAGGAGUUAUGGUCCCAUCCUGAAGUGCUGUUCCAUAACCAGUCCUUACAGUGUGAUGUACUGAGCAGAAUUCCACAGCAUUUGUCUGCUGGUUGAACAGGGCAAUUUGCUUUUACUCUGAGUGUGCAGAGCAGCACAUCACCAGUCCUUUUUCAAAUGCUGUGCUGUUUCCAUUGGCUCAGGCAGAUAAUUCCUGGGAUGAGGCUGGCAGUGCCACCACGGCUGCUGCAGGUCAGGUGCUCCUGGCACAGCUCUGGGACACAAUCCAAGUGUGAAAGGCUUUGAAAGCCUUUGAUGUGGCAUUAGGUGACAGGUGUGGCAGGUGAAACAGCCUUAGCUGAUUCUUCGUUUGGCUGUGCAACAGCCUUAGCAGCACAUACUGAAAUCAUGGGGUGUAAAAGAGAAAUAUGCUCUAUGCUGCUUCUGAAUAAAACUGUAUGCCAUUGAUUUAUCAGCAGCUAUAAGAUGGUUUAUUUCUUACACAGUCCUUCCAGUGAUGCAGCUAUUGCAGGUCACUCAUAGACAGAUGAUUUCAACAGUUUGUUCUACAAAAGUGGGGGUUUCCAGAAAAAAUGACAGAAUGUAAAUUGGUAGAAACUGAUUAUCAGUUUAAUGUUACUCCUCUUUGGUUAGUGUUGCAGAAAAUGUAUUCCUGCCUGCAGUUUCCAGUGCUGUAUUUAGCAGCCCAUUCCACAUGUGAGGAUCAUAGAACCACAGACUUUUUUAUGUUGGAAAGGACCUUUAAUAUCAUUGAGUCCUACCACUGAUCCUUAUUGGUCCCUUCCAAACUGAGACACGAUUUCAUGAUUCUCCAGCACCAACAGUGUGUGGGAGGCUGUGCAGAGCCCAGUGAAUCCCAAACACCCCUGGAAACCAGCAACCAUUCUUCCUCUCUCAAUGCCUCUUCACAGCCCUCACUGAUGAUGCCAUUCAGCUGGAUAAAGGAGGCCUCCUUUGGGCACCCUGCAUCAACACAGGAGGGAGGAAAAAAAAUCCCACAUCCUCAACAACAGUGGUAUUUUUUGUGAGUCCUAGAAUAACGACAACUUCUAAUGUUAUUUAUGAUUUUAGGUUUGAGAUAACAUGUUGGUGUUGUGUUGAUUUCCACAGAAAAACCAGACUGCCAUUUAAAACUAAUUAUUACUGUUACUUUUAAAUAACAUAUGGCUCUACUUUUAGCUGGGAAUUGCAAUGUUAAGCAUCAGUCAAUGACCUCAAAAGUAGGACUCUGGGGAAAAAAAAAGAGUAUUAGAAUGAUACAUUCUAGUGAAGUGAAAAUACUCACAGAGGGGACAAGAAAUAUGACUUUCAACAAAUUUAUAAAAAAAGUUAAAGAUGUUUCAUUUCUGAACAAGAUGAGACUAGAAGAAGAGUAAUGGAGAAGAUUCCUUUAGGGUCCUGAUUUACAUCCAAGGGUCAGUAAUUGCUAUUUUUGUAACUGUUUUUUCACUUCCCAUUCUUCUGGAAUCUGAAAUAAACACUGAACAUGCCUCUGAAUCAUCAGGUGGGUGCUUCAGAUGCCCCAAAAUCACCCAGAGUCAUUGCAAGAAAGCACCGACAGUAGUCUAAGUAUUGUGACAGUCUUUUUUGUAAAAACUGUCACCCACACAGACAAACACUAGAAGCUCUUUAACUCCCUCACAGCAUUUUUUAACUAUAUGGAAUUGUAAUAUAAUUUCUAUGAUAAUUAUUGAAAACAAGUGGUAGCAGUUUGUGGCAAAGCCCGUUUAUUAGUUCUCUGGGACUGUGCCUUGCCUGCCCCCAGCACAUACAAAAGAACACAACUUUACAGUCUGGUAGAGUGAAAAUACACAUACAAAGUAUUCAGUACUCUGAUAUCCAUCCUGUGGGCAAAACAUCACCACUGAAAGCCAGGGAGCAACACUGAAUCCUGCAUUACUGACCACACUGCCUCCAUGGCAGAACCAUUAAAACAUGCUUUGUGCUGAACAUGGAAUUACACACUGGAACACCAUUUGCACACAAUUUUCAUUACAUGAGGGCCCUUAUUUACAAGUUGUGGUAACUCAAAUAAAACUUAACAGGUGUUUCAGAUAAAAUUGAACAAUAACACUGCAGCUACAUGAUUCUCUUUCCCCAACCCCCAACCUGACUGACUUUAAAAUUCUUAAUUCUGGGAUAUUUUUAUUAAAAACAAACAAACAAAUAAAACAAACAAA